rnacentral:rRNA from 1 species
UACGAAGGGGGCGAGCGUUGUUCGGAAUUACUGGGCGUAAAGGGCGCGUAGGCGGCCGAUCAAGUCAGAUGUGAAAGUCCUGGGCUUAACCUGGGGACUGCAUUUGAUACUGAUUGGCUUGAAUGCAGGAGAGGAUAGCGGAAUUCCCAGUGUAGAGGUGAAAUUCCUAGAUAUUGGGAAGAACACCGGUGGCGAAGGCGGCUAUCUGGACUGUGAUUGACGCUGAGGCGCGAAAGCGUGGGGAGCAAACAGG